AAACAAAAUAAAAGAUAAAAAAUUCAGAAACUGAGUUCAAAGUAUUUUUUUCUUUUUGUUGAAUUUUUUUAGGAACUUAAUAUAACCAAGAACUUGUUGCAGUGUCCCAAUCAUAGGAACUUUAAUCUCCAAUUUCUUGAAGAUUUCCAUGAAACGCUCAAGCUGUUUUUCCUUUUUUCUUCCUAUGAUCCUUCUUUGGGUGAGGAGGGGGUUUUUCAUAUGAUUCUUUCUUUUUGCUUUCAUUCUUCCCCUCUUUCUUCUUCUCCUUGGGACACUUCUUAGGGCACAAAGGACUUUUCUAAAUUUUUUUCUCUUCUCUCUCAACUUCUUCCUUUUCUACCUCUUUCUCUUUCUCACUCAAAUCUUCUUCUUCUUCUCUCUUUACUUUUAUCUCAUCUUCUUUCUCUUCUUCUUCUUGCUCUUCGUAAUUCAUACUCUCUUUUUCUUUUCUCUAUUUUUUUCUCAUACUCUCUUUCUUCUUUUUUUCCUUCCUCAUUUGGGACUUUGUCACUUUCAAUGACAACAUCUUUGCAUUCCUUUUCAGGAUUAAGAUCACCCAACAUCUGCAUCAGGAGGUUAAAAUGUGUCAUCAUCCUUUCAGAUGCCGCU
rnacentral:lncRNA from 1 species